GGGGAAGAGCAUAUCAGCUGCAAAAACUGUUCUCUGCUUCCUUGUUCACCACUUGAUGACUUCUCAGGGACACAGAAAAAAGACCACCACACUGAGCCCCUCUGCUGAAGUCUUCAAGGGCAAAGGAAAACACAAGAUCGAAGAGGAAAUACAACGUGAGUGGCGUUCAAUUCCAUAUGGUGAAGAGACACCAGAAUGUCAACGCUGGAGCAUCUGGACAAAGAAGAAACUGAGACCUGGAGAAGAGAAGAGGGAAGGAAACUAAAACAAAUGAGAAGCCAAAAGCCUGUCUCGGACCCCCACUGCCUCAUCUCCGGGCAUUCAAGCAGCUUCUUCUUCGCGGAAAAAUCAUCAGAAAGAAACUAGAGGUGGCACUGCACCAGAAGUCCAGUGGUUAAGACUCAGUGCUUCCACUAUAGGGGCAUGGAUUCAAUGCCUGGUCGAGGAGACUGCAAGCCUCGUGGCCUAGACGAAAGAAAGAAAGAAAGCAGAGGGGUAGGGAGUGAAAAAAAAAUCAAAC